UUUUAGAAAAUUCUAUAAUGAUUAAAACAAUAUGAUUUUGAAUUGUCUGAUUGGACAUAAAAAUAAUAUAUAUUGAAAAUAAUACUAGAUAGUACUCUGAACGUGUCAUAUGAAUAUUUGUUUGAGGUGAAGUUUUCUUUUUCUCAUCAUGCAUAUUAUCUAUGGAUUUAGAAAAGAAGAAAAAGAUUUUAAAUUAGAAAAUAAAACAAUAAAACAAAAUUGGCUAAAAUUUGAUACUUUUGUGAUAAAUUUUCACUAUUUUUUUUCUAACUUAUAUUAUUAUUGAUGUUACAGAGAGAUGCUCUGACCCAUCUAUAAUUUUAAUUCCUUUUGUCAGGAAUGAAACAUGUAUAGAUUUUAUGCCUAUUAUGGUAGAAAAUUAAUUGUGUAGAAAUUAAUUUAUAAAAUAAUAAUAUUUAUUUCAUUACAUGAUUAUAAUAUGAUGUCUUCAACUUUAUGUACUCUAGUCUCCUUUUUUUUUAAUGCAUAUAAAUGAUGUGUUAAAAUGUGCCUAUCACUUGUCACUAUGAUCUCAAAUAUAAAGAGAUUUUUGAUAUAUUUUAUGUGAAUUUUUCAAUAGAAGAUUAAUUUUGAAUUGUAUGAUUAUAUUGGGACUAUCCUGUACUCAUUGAAGUAAUAAUAAUAAAUAUAAUAGGUUUAUAGUUAACUACAAUUAAGCUCAUCAGAGAUAUGUAUAUGAGGUAAGCUCUCUUUUCUUGUGCAAAAGAGAGAGAAUUUUCAGCAACUAAUACUAAAUAAUUUAUAAUUUUACUUAAAAAUUUAAAUGAGAAAAUUGAUGACAAUUAACCAUCAAUAAAAUUUAAAAUAUUGAAUAAUUUUUAAAAAAUAUUAAAAAUGCUGAACGUUUAGAAUGUUUUUUAAACGACCUUUUUGUGUGGGCAAUAAUUUUACAAUCAAAAUUAUUUGGUCCUAGGAAAUGAAGAUGAUGAAAAUGAUAUGGAUGGAGAAUGUGACAGUGAUGUAGAUGAAGAAGAAGAUGGAGAAGAUGAAGAGGAAGAUGAUGAUGUAAAUGUUGAUGAUGAAGAGGAAGAAGGAGAUGAUGACGACGACGAUGAUGAUGUUGAUGAAGAUGCCGAUGAUGGAGAGGAAGAGGAAGAAAGUGAAGGUGAAUUUAACCCAGAUGAUGAUGAGGAUGAAGAAGAUGAAGCAGAUGAUGCAACAGCGAGGGGGCAAAAACGGAAAAGAGAUGAUGAAGAUUGAGAGUUGUUUAAUGGAGUGAAAAGAACUGUUAACACUCCUAGAAUUCAUUGUACAGCUAUAGUAGAUACAUCAAGAAGGACCUCAAUCAUUUCUUUCCUAGGAUUGCCAAGCACAGAAUCUAUUUACAUAGGAAGACAUCUGUGCCUGGCAGUCAUUUAGGAUGUGAAGUUCAAGGACAUUUUCCUACCAUUGCACAAGGCUGAUAUUUUAAUAAUAAACUGUACAGUUUGGGUUCAUAAUUCUCAUUUGCUUAAAAUUGUUUAACAUAGAACCAUUCCUUUGCUGUGUUUUAUGAUUUUGUGUGUUUCAUUAUGUUGUGCAUUGUGUAAUAUAUUAUGCACCAAGUCCUCUAUCAUUCAUCAUAUACAUUACAGAAUCGUUACUUCAUAAACAUUAAUAAUAAAUUCAUAUUAAUUUAAUCAGAACAAACCUUUAUAAAUCUUUAAAAUGCAAAUUUAAAAUGUAAGAUAUAGUUUCAUUGAAAUUUUAUCAAACUGUUUUUAUCAUAUUGAUUUAACAGAUUGAUAAAGAAUUUCAAUGAAGUCAUGCUAGAAAAUUUAAAAUUUAUCAAUAUUAAUUUCCUAUUAAAAUACUGGAAAUGUUCCAUAAUAAUCAUACCUUGUGCAUUAGUAUGGAGUUUAUUAUUGCACUGAAAUUUUACAGAUAUUUGAAACGAUCCGUUUUCAGCCUUGUGUUAUGAAAUAAUGAGCGGCAUUAGAAAUAAAAUCUUUGUAUUUCAGUUCUUGUUGAAUAAAAAAAUUUUUACAAUAUGA
rnacentral:misc_RNA from 1 species